CCCUUAGAUGUUCUGGGCUGCACGCGCGCUACACUGACGCACGCAACAGGUGCCUGCUCCGAGAGGACUGGGUAAUCAUUUGAGUGUGCGUCGUGAUGGGGAUAGAAUAUUGUAAUUAUUACUCCUCAACGAGGAAUUCCUAGUAAGCGCCAGUCAGCAGCUUGCGCUGAUUACGUCCCUGCCCUUUGUACACACCGCCCGUCGCUCCUACCGAUGGGUGAUCCGGUGAAUGAUUCGGACUUCAGCGGCUCCCCUGGGGUGCGCCGGAGAAAGUUUUGUGAACCUUAUCACUUGGAGGAAGGAGAAGUCGUAACA
rnacentral:rRNA from 1 species